GAUGAACGCUGGCGGUAUGCUUAACACAUGCAAGUCGAACGGGCUCUUAGGAGCUAGUGGCGGACGGGUGAGUAACGCGUGAGAAUCUGGCUUCAGGUCUGGGACAACCACUGGAAACGGUGGCUAAUACCGGAUGUGCCGAGAGGUGAAAGAUUAAUUGCCUGAAGAUGAGCUCGCGUCUGAUUAGCUAGUUGGUAGUGUAAUGGACUACCAAGGCGACGAUCAGUAGCUGGUCUGAGAGGAUGAUCAGCCACACUGGGACUGAGACACGGCCCAGACUCCUACGGGAGGCAGCAGUGGGGAAUUUUCCGCAAUGGGCGAAAGCCUGACGGAGCAAUACCGCGUGAGGGAGGAAGGCUCUUGGGUUGUAAACCUCUUUUCUCAGGGAAGAAAACAAUGACGGUACCUGAGGAAUAAGCAUCGGCUAACUCCGUGCCAGCAGCCGCGGUAAUACGGAGGAUGCAAGCGUUAUCCGGAAUGAUUGGGCGUAAAGCGUCCGCAGGUGGCUGUGUAAGUCUGCUGUCAAAGAGCAAAGCUCAACUUUGUAAAGGCAGUGGAAACUACACGGCUAGAGUGCGUUCGGGGCAGAGGGAAUUCCUGGUGUAGCGGUGAAAUGCGUAGAGAUCAGGAAGAACACCGGUGGCGAAGGCGCUCUACUAGGCCGCAACUGACACUGAGGGACGAAAGCUAGGGGAGCGAAUGGGAUUAGAUACCCCAGUAGUCCUAGCCGUAAACGAUGGAUACUAGGCGUGGCUUGUAUCGACCCGAGCCGUGCCGUAGCUAACGCGUUAAGUAUCCCGCCUGGGGAGUACGCACGCAAGUGUGAAACUCAAAGGAAUUGACGGGGGCCCGCACAAGCGGUGGAGUAUGUGGUUUAAUUCGAUGCAACGCGAAGAACCUUACCAAGGCUUGACAUGUCGCGAAUCUUCUUGAAAGGGGAGAGUGCCUUCGGGAGCGCGAACACAGGUGGUGCAUGGCUGUCGUCAGCUCGUGUCGUGAGAUGUUGGGUUAAGUCCCGCAACGAGCGCAACCCUCGUUUUUAGUUGCCAGCACUUAGGGUGGGCACUCUAGAGAGACUGCCGGUGACAAACCGGAGGAAGGUGGGGAUGACGUCAAGUCAGCAUGCCCCUUACGCCUUGGGCUACACACGUACUACAAUGUUCCGGACAGAGGGCAGCAAGCUAGCGAUAGCAAGCUAAUCCCAUAAACCGGAGCUCAGUUCAGAUCGCAGGCUGCAACUCGCCUGCGUGAAGGAGGAAUCGCUAGUAAUUGCAGGUCAGCAUACUGCAGUGAAUUCGUUCCCGGGCCUUGUACACACCGCCCGUCACACCAUGGAAGCUGGUAGUGCCCGAAGUCAUUACUCCAACCUUUCGGGGGGGAGGAUGCCUAAGGCAGGACUGGUGACUGGGGUGAA
rnacentral:rRNA from 1 species